GGCUUUCUGAAUAUCCUGCAGACUGACACCGCAUCAGUUCUUCAGGAGGCUUCUCUUUAUAUCAAGCUUCUUCAAGCACAAAUCCGGACUUUGUUUCAGAUGCUGAGCUUCACUUACUUUAGCACGAUUAAUGAUCCCCAUACUCAGCUGGUGUCACGUCAGGAAUGUGCGGACAAAUUGGAGGUUGACCUAAGGAGCAGAGGACUUUGUUUGGUUCCCAUAUCAAUCACAGACAAAAUAACAAAGGUAGACCAGAUUCAUCAUGCUUCGGCCUCAAUAAAUACUUAGAGGCAUAGUUCCUUUAUAAGCAUGGUAAAUUAGUUGGCGCAUACUAUAUCAAUUUGAACAUUUGCUAAGAUAUUGAUUGCAUAUUUAGGAACAUGUUUGGGACCAUAGUUCUUUUAACAUUUCUCACAAGAAAACAAUGGAUUGCAUAUCUUCGAUUUACAUCAAUUUUAACAAGUAAUGAGCCAGUUAAACGCGGAUGUUUGUCUUCAGGACAUGGGGCAUGAAAAACAAAACCAAAUCCACGUAUGACUUUAUUUUGUAA